rnacentral:lncRNA from 1 species
CCCUAAUGGAUAAUGAUAUUGGACAUAUUUUCAUGUGCUUGUCAGCCAGUAUAUAUGGAAAUGUAGCUGAGUGGUAGAGUGUUUGCUUAUCAUACAACAUACCCUGGGUUUGAGCUCCAGCACAGCAGGGGAGAAAAUGCUUGUGUAUAUAUAUUGACUGGUAAGCACAUGAAAAAAAUGCUCAAUAUCAUUAUCCAUGAGGGGAAUGCAAAUCAAAGUGAAAAUCUACCUCAGAUUUAGUAGGAUGGCUAUAAUUAAAAGAGAUAUAAUAACAAGUGUUGGUAAGAAUGUAGAGAAAUCGAAAUGCUUAUUCUCACUACUGAUUGAAAAUGUAAAAUGGUGUAGCUGCUAUGGAAAACAGUUUGAUAGUUCCUCAAAUGGUUAAACAUAGCAUUACUGUGUGAUAUAGGAACUCCACUACUAUACAUAUACCCAAGAAAUUGAAAGCAUGUGCAAAUAAAACCUUAUGUGACUGUUUACAGGAGUAUUAUACAUAAAUGCCAAAAAGUAGAAAUAAUUUUAGUUUGUAUUAACUAGUGAAUAAAUUAUUGUUUAAUGAUAUAAUGGAUAGAAAAACUAAUACAAUACAACAUGGCUAAACCCUGAAAAUGUUAAUGCUAAGUGAAAGAAUUUAGUCAAACAAGACUAUUGUAUAAUUAUAUUUAUUUGAAAUGCCCAGAGUAGGUAAAUCUGUACAUUGGAAAGUAGACUAGUGGUUGCCUGGGAUUAAUGGGAAUAGGAAGAUUGGAUGUUGAUGAUAAUAGGAUGUGGAGUUUCAUUUUGGGAUGAUAAUGUUCUAAAAUUGAUUAUGGUGAUGGAUGAUGCAAAAGUGAAUAUAUGAAAAACCACUGAAUUAUGUACUUUAAGUAGGUGACUUGUGUGGUAUCUGACAUCCCAAAGCUGUUUUAAAAAAAUCCACCUAUACAAUUCAGUAAUUUUA